AGCGGUACGUGAGCUGGGUUCAGAACGUCGUGAGACAGUUCGGUCCCUAUCCACUGUGGGCGCAGGUGACUUGAGGGGAGCUGCUCCUAGUACGAGAGGACCGGAGUGGACGGACCUCUGGUGUACCGGUUGUCCUGCCAAGGGCACGUGCCGGGUAGCCAUGUCCGGACGGGAUAAGCGCUGAAAGCAUCUAAGCGCGAAGCCCACCCCAAGAUGAGGUCACCCACCGGGUAACCGGGUAAGUCCCCUGGGAGACUACCAGGUCGAUAGGCCGCGGGUGUACAGCCGUAAGGCGUAGCCUAGCGGUACUAAUAGGACGAGGGCUUGUCCUG
rnacentral:rRNA from 1 species